rnacentral:rRNA from 1 species
GAUGAACGCUGGCGGCGUGCCUAAUACAUGCAAGUCGAGCGAACGGACGAGAAGCUUGCUUCUCUGAUGUUAGCGGCGGACGGGUGAGUAACACGUGGAUAACCUACCUAUAAGACUGGGAUAACUUCGGGAAACCGGAGCUAAUACCAGAUGAUAUUUUGAACCGCAUGGUUCAAAAGUGAAAGACGGUCUUGCUGUCACUUAUAGAUGGAUCCGCGCUGCAUUAGCUAGUUGGUAAGGUAACGGCUUACCAAGGCAACGAUGCAUAGCCGACCUGAGAGGGUGAUCAGCCACACUGGAACUGAGACACGGUCCAGACUCCUACGGGAGGCAGCAGUAGGGAAUCUUCCGCAAUGGGCGAAAGCCUGACGGAGCAACGCCGCGUGAGUGAUGAAGGUCUUCGGAUCGUAAAACUCUGUUAUUAGGGAAGAACAUAUGUGUAAGUAACUGUGCACAUCUUGACGGUACCUAAUCAGAAAGCCACGGCUAACUACGUG